AGGCUUAACACAUGCAAGUCGAGGGGCAGCGCGGGGUAGCAAUACCCAGGCGGCGACCGGCGGAAGGGUGCGUAACACGUGAGCGACUUGCCCGUCACAGGGAGAUAACCGGCGGAAACGGCGACUAAUAUCCCAUAUGAUCCGGUGCUACAUGGCGUCGGGUUGAAAGAUUCAUCGGUGACGGAUAGGCUCGCGGGACAUUAGCUAGACGGCGGGGCAACGGCCCACCGUGGCGACGAUGUCUAGGGGUUCUGAGAGGAAGAUCCCCCACACUGGAACUGAGACACGGUCCAGACUCCUACGGGAGGCAGCAGUGAGGAAUAUUGGUCAAUGGGCGGAAGCCUGAACCAGCCAUGCCGCGUGAAGGAAUAAGGCCCUAUGGGUCGUAAACUUCUUUAGACGCAGAGCAAUAAGGGUCUCGAGAGGCCCGAUGAGAGUAUGCGUAGAAUAAGCAUCGGCUAACUCCGUGCCAGCAGCCGCGGUAAUACGGGGGAUGCGAGCGUUAUCCGGAUUUAUUGGGUUUAAAGGGUGCGUAGGCGGCAAGGUAAGUCAGCGGUGAAAGACCAGGGCUCAACUCUGGAAGUGCCGUUGAUACUGUCUGGCUAGAAUGAUUCCGCCGUGGGAGGAAUGAGUAGUGUAGCGGUGAAAUGCAUAGAUAUUACUCAGAACACCGAUUGCGAAGGCAUCUCACGAGGGGUUUAUUGACGCUGAGGCACGAAAGCGUGGGGAUCGAACAGGAUUAGAUACCCUGGUAGUCCACGCAGUAAACGAUGAUGGCUAACUGUCGGGCCUUCGGGUUCGGCGGCCAAGCGAAAGCGAUAAGCCAUCCACCUGGGGAGUACGACCGCAAGGUUGAAACUCAAAGGAAUUGACGGGGGCCCGCACAAGCGGAGGAACAUGUGGUUUAAUUCGAUGAUACGCGAGGAACCUUACCCAGGCUCGAACGGCAUCUGAAUCGUCCAGAGAUGGGCGAGUCUUCGGACAGAUGUCGAGGUGCUGCAUGGUUGUCGUCAGCUCGUGCCGUG
rnacentral:rRNA from 1 species